rnacentral:rRNA from 1 species
UAACGCGUGGGUAACCUGCCGUAUACAGGGGGAUAACACUUAGAAAUAGGUGCUAAAACCGCAUAAGCGCACAGGAUCGCAUGGUCCGGUGUGAAAAACUCCGGUGGUAUACGAUGGACCCGCGUCUGAUUAGCUUGUUGGCGGGGUAGAGGCCCACCAAGGCGACGAUCAGUAGCCGGCCUGAGAGGGUGAACGGCCACAUUGGGACUGAGACACGGCCCAAACUCCUACGGGAGGCAGCAGUGGGGAAUAUUGCACAAUGGGGGAAACCCUGAUGCAGCGACGCCGCGUGAGUGAGGAAGUAUUUCGGUAUGUAAAGCUCUAUCAGCAGGGAAGAAAAUGACGGUACCUGACUAAGAAGCCCCGGCUAACUACGUGCCAGCAGCCGCGGUAAUACGUAGGGGGCAAGCGUUAUCCGGAUUUACUGGGUGUAAAGGGAGCGUAGACGGAGGAGCAAGUCUGAUGUGAAAAUCCGGGGCCCAACCCCGGAACUGCAUUGGAAACUGUUUAUCUAGAGUGUCGGAGAGGCAAGUGGAAUUCCUAGUGUAGCGGUGAAAUGCGUAGAUAUUAGGAGGAACACCAGUGGCGAAGGCGGCUUGCUGGACGAUGACUGACGUUGAGGCUCGAAAGCGUGGGGAGCAAACAGGAUUAGAUACCCUGGUAGU